rnacentral:rRNA from 1 species
AAAUCAUUUUUUCCCUAAGUAUGGGAGACAGAAAAGGACACACGGAGCUAUAGAAAAAGUACCGCAAGGGAAAGCUGAAAAAGAGAUGAAAUAGAACAGCAACGUACCAAAAAGCAGAGACUAAACCUCGUACCUUUUGCAUCAUGAUCUAGCAAGUUCAAUUAAGCAAAGAGCUCUUUAGUUUAACAUCCCGAAACUGAGUGAGCUACUCCAUGACAGCCUUUAGAAAGGGCAAACCCGAUCUCUGUGGCAAAAGAGUGGGAAGAUCUUUGAGUAGGGGCGAUAAACCUACCGAACUCAGUUUAUAGGCUGGUUGCUUGAAAAAUGAAUAUAAGUUCAGCCCCUUAGCUUCUUAUCUCCUCCCACGUGUGGCAUAAAGAAAAAUAGAAACUAAGAGAGUUAGUCGAAGGGGGUACAGCCCCUUUGAAACAGAUACAACUUUUACAGGAGGGUAAGGAUCAUACUAAUAAAGGGAUAUGUACAACGUAGGCUUUAAAGCAGCCACCACCCACAAAAGCGUAACAGCUUAAACAACAAUCACACCCCCCAAUCUAGAUAAAACCUUCCAAACCCCCUAAUAAUAUCAAGCCGCCCCAUAAAUAUGGGAGAGACCAUGCUAGUAUGAGUAAUAAGAGAAACAUCCCUCUCUCCCAGUACACGUGUAAGCUGGUGUUACAACAAACCAACUAUUAACGGCCGCAAACCAUAGAGCGUAGUGAAGCCUAAAACAGAAUACAAGAAAGGACUUCAGCAAAUAACCGUUAACCCAACACAGGCGUACAAUAAGGGAAAGACUAAAAGGACAAAAAGGAACUCGGCAAAAUAAUUUCUUAGCCUCGCCUGUUUACCAAAAACAUCGCCUCUUGACUAAAUACAUAAGAGGUCCUGCCUGCCCAAUGACAUUACGUUAAAUGGCCGCGGUAUCUUAACCGUGCGAAGGUAGCGCAAUCACUUGUCUUUUAAAUGAAGACCUGUAUGAAUGGCAAGACGAGGGCUUAACUGUCUCCUUUACCCAGUCAAUGAAAUUGAUCUCCCCGUGCAGAAGCGAGGAUAAUAACAUAAGACGAGAAGACCCUGUGGAGCUUUAGACAAAUAACCGCCCAUAUUAAACACCACCCGACAAGGGAAGAGAAAUAAUGAUGUCCGUUACACGUCUUCGGUUGGGGCGACCUUGGGGAAACACAAAACCCCCAAACAGAAGGAAGCACACAACCCACCCCCCACCCCGCUUCCAAAAGCUAGAGACUACAACUCUAACUAACAGAACUUCUGACUUUUCUUGACCCGGCCAUGCCGAUCAAUGAACCAAGUUACCCCAGGGAUAACAGCGCAAU